AGUCUUAUAUUUAAUAUAUAUAUAUAAUUUUAAAUUGCAAAUUUAAAGUAGUAAAAAUAAUUUACUAAGGCUU
rnacentral:tRNA from 1 species